GUUAAAGCAUAUGCGCUGUUUUGGUUCAUUCGUUGGUUAAGAUAUAGAGGGAUCGAAUGUCCCAUCGUCACGAUGAUUAAUGUCCGUCUGACCUGGAAGAACUAUCUGCCGAGAUAGUGACGACCUGACCAGCCUCACCUUCUUGGUAAAAUUGUCCCUCUGCUGCUAAAACUCGUCCGUUACAUUCGCUCGAUAACAUCAGCAGCGGUGCAUACGGCUAGCGGUCAUCAGCCAAGCGAGCCUGAAAUAACGUAGACUCGGUUGCCAUAAUGCGAGGUCUAGAAGAGGAUGACGAGAAAUAAGUAAGAAGAAGCGCCUGCCAGAUUAGCUCAUACAGUCGUCUGCCUGCUCCCCGGUACAGGGGGCCCUAGGCUCCUUUGCUUCUUCCCUAUCGUCCUUCUCGCAGACCGCACCGAAACUAGAUGAAGUAACGAGAACGGAGGGACUGAACAAGGUGAAGAGCAAGGCAAAAAAGAAAUCGCGUAAGAUUCUAUCACGUUGCCAGACCUUGGCUACUGUGAACGAUUUCGCUAUUGCGAUUCUUAUUACCACUAAUACUGUUGCUGUGCGACGGGAGCCGCGGCGGCGUUGGCUGUAUCUCGUUCCUGCGUCGGCUCGGUCAUUCUUCGACAUCUUGGAUGGACAGUUCCAUUUGUAACUGGCCACCCGCUGCGAGACAUACAUGCCGCACCGAGCUAAUGGUCCGCUUUGCCAGCAACUGCUUACCCUAGAUAAAGCUAGGGCUAUUACAACUAUUACAUAAUGACAGCACGCGGCUGUACUUUCAGAUAUUGGAUAUACACAGUAUAUGUUUGGAGUGGGUCAACGGCAAAACACGGGCGAAAUUCGGAAGCGAUCAUCACUUCAGGUAGCAGGCGAGAUAAAUGGAUAUGUUGUGGUUUAGGUUCGAAUACGGGCAUUGAUGCAGUUCGUUUUGCUGAAAGCCAGCCGUCUGCUGGAAUAUCUAAGGACGAUAUCGGACGUGCAACUUGAAACAUAGAAGCUUGGCGAACGGACAGAAUAUUAUAUCGCAUACCUUCGUCUAGCCUAUUUGUUUAAAAGAUUCUCACCAGGAUAUCCUUUUACAUAACGAUGACAGUGUGCAGGUGCUCCAUCCUGCUGGAAAUAAAAUUCACCAUUUCCAUCGAAGGCCCCCCAAGUCCAUGCGAAUUCAACUAAUCGUCAGCAGUUUAAAAAAUAAAAACAAAAUAGUGUCAAUGUAUACAUUUUUUUGGAACAGCCCCUGGUUAGAAGUCCCCCCUGCCUGCACCAUGCACACUAUAGCAUAUAAACCAUAUAUAUCCAGUUCGUAAGCUGAAGUAAAUCUUUCGAGUUCUACGUUUUAAAACUGCCUUAUCACUGCAUUACACGUCUUGGAAAGCUUAUCAUUGACUGUUGUGUCUCCGACAACUUAGUUUCGCUGAAGCUGAAAUUGUGUGAUGUAACAAUUUCUGCAGAUGAUUUUUAGCUUUCCUACUUCUUAG